UACGAAGGGGGCUAGCGUUGUUCGGAAUUACUGGGCGUAAAGCGUGCGCAGGCGGUUUUGUAAGUCUGACGUGAAAUCCCCGGGCUCAACCUGGGAAUUGCGUUGGAGACUGCAAGGCUAGAAUCUGGCAGAGGGGGGUAGAAUUCCACGUGUAGCAGUGAAAUGCGUAGAGAUGUGGAGGAACACCGAUGGCGAAGGCAGCCCCCUGGGUCAAGAUUGACGCUCAUGCACGAA
rnacentral:rRNA from 1 species